GAACGUUGAGUCAAGGGAGCGCGCCAAGGAGCGUUGUCUUGAGGAGUUCAGAGGGUAAGGGUUGUACGUUACCUCAACUUGGCUCUAAACCAUGAAAUAUUUGGUUGACAGAAAACGUACAUA
rnacentral:sRNA from 12 species